AGUGAACGCUGGCGGUAGGCCUAACACAUGCAAGUCGAACGGCAGCACAGUAAGAGCUUGCUCUUACGGGUGGCGAGUGGCGAACGGGUGAGGAAUACAUCGGAAUCUACUUUUUCGUGGGGGAUAACGUAGGGAAACUUACGCUAAUACCGCAUACGACCUACGGGUGAAAGCAGGGGAUCUUCGGACCUUGCGCGAUUGAAUGAGCCGAUGUCGGAUUAGCUAGUUGGCGGGGUAAAGGCCCACCAAGGCGACGAUCCGUAGCUGGUCUGAGAGGAUGAUCAGCCACACUGGAACUGAGACACGGCCCAGACUCCUACGGGAGGCAGCAGUGGGGAAUAUUGGACAAUGGGCGCAAGCCUGAUCCAGCCAUACCGCGUGGGUGAAGAAGGCCUUCGGGUUGUAAAGCCCUUUUGUUGGGAGAGAAAAGCAGCAGGUUAAUACCCCGCUGUUCUGACGGUACCCAAAGAGUAAGCACCGGCUAACUUCGUG
rnacentral:rRNA from 1 species